GUUUUUAUAAUUUAAUUUAAAAUAUUGAUUUUGUAAUUCAAAAAUAAGGAAUUUUCUUUAAAAACU
rnacentral:tRNA from 1 species